rnacentral:rRNA from 1 species
AGAGUUUGAUCCUGGCUCAGAUUGAACGCUAGCGGCAUGCUUAACACAUGCAAGUCGAACGGCAGCGCGGGGAGCUUGCUCCCUGGCGGCGAGUGGCGGACGGGUGAGUAACGCGUAGGAAUCUACCUUUAAGUGGGGGAUAACUCGAGGAAACUCGGGCUAAUACCGCAUAAUCUCUACGGAGUAAAGCGGGGGACCUUCGGGCCUCGUGCUUAAAGAUGAGCCUGCGUUGGAUUAGCUUGUUGGUGGGGUAAAGGCCUACCAAGGCGACGAUCUAUAGCUGGUCUGAGAGGAUGAUCAGCCACACUGGGACUGAGACACGGCCCAGACUCCUACGGGAGGCAGCAGUGGGGAAUAUUGGACAAUGGGGGCAACCCUGAUCCAGCAAUGCCGCGUGUGUGAAGAAGGCCUUCGGGUUGUAAAGCACUUUCAGUAGGGAAGAAAGACUCAAGAUUAAUACUCUUGAGAGUUGACGUUACCUACAGAAGAAGCACUGGCUAACUCUGUGCCAGCAGCCGCGGUAAUACAGAGAGUGCAAGCGUUAAUCGGAAUUACUGGGCGUAAAGCGCGCGUAGGUGGAUACUUAAGUCGGAUGUGAAAGCCCUGGGCUUAACCUAGGAACUGCAUCCGAUACUGGGUAUCUAGAGUAUGGUAGAGGGAAGUGGAAUUUCCGGUGUAGCGGUGAAAUGCGUAGAUAUCGGAAAGAACACCAGUGGCGAAGGCGGCUUCCUGGACCAAUACUGACACUGAGGUGCGAAAGCGUGGGGAGCAAACAGGAUUAGAGACCCUGGUAGUCCACGCCGUCAACGAUGAGAACUGGCUGUUGGGAGGGACUUCCUCUUAGUAGCGAAGCUAACGCGUUAAGUUCUCCGCCUGGGGAGUACGGCCGCAAGGCUAAAACUCAAAGGAAUUGACGGGGCCCGCACAAGCGGUGGAGCAUGGUGGUUUAUUCGAUGCAACGCGAGACCUUACCUACUCUUGACAUCUCGAUCCCUGAGAUGGGGAGUGCCUUCGGACGAUGACAGUGCUGCAUGCUGUCGUCAGCUCUGUCUGGAAUGUUUGGUUAGUCCGUUACGAGGCUACCUUGUCUAUGCCACACCCGUAACGAGCGCAAUCCUCGCCCUUAGUCGCCAGCACGUAAUGGUGGGAACUCUAAGGAGGCUGCCGGUGAUAAACCGGAGGAAGGUGGGGAUGAUCCCAAGCCAUCAUGGCCCUUACGAGUAGGGCUACCCAUGUGAUACAAUGGGCAGUACAAAGGGUUGCCAAGCCGCAAGGUGGAGCUAAUCCCAUAAAGCUGUUCGUAGUCCGGAUUGGAGUAUGCAACUCGACUCCAUGAAGUCGGAAUCGCUAGUAAUCGCGAAUCAGAAUGUCGCGGUGAAUACGUUCUCGGGCCUUGCACACACCGCCCGUCACAUCAUGGGAGUGAAUUGUACCAGAAGCGGGUAGGCUAACCUUCGGGAGGCCGCUCACCACGGUAUGGUUCAUGACUGGGAUGAAGUCGUAACAAGGUA